AUGGAUCACCAGCAAAGGGUACACAAUGUAUACCCUAAAAGCCAUAAAAAUUCCAAAAAAAAUUUGGAUAAAUUCGUUGCAAAAUUGAAAGAGUUUUGGAUUUCUAAAACUCUAUCUCAUAGAAUUCGAAAUCCAAACUUAUUCCUUUUUGAUUUGAUCCAAACCACCUUCCAUGUAAGAAAGAAGAGAGGAAACCUUUUGUGAACAUGGGAGAGACCUGGGAGAGGGCUUUUGUUGCACAAAAUAAGUGGAGAUUGGCGUUGAAUAAGAGAGAGGGCGUGGGGAAGGCUUAUGUGGCGCAAGGUGGAAUCCUAGUCUUACUAGGAUUCUAUCUUAUGACUUGUUUUAAUUUGGUUUCCCAAAUCAAAUCAAACCAAAAUU
rnacentral:lncRNA from 1 species